rnacentral:tRNA from 1 species
AAUUAAAUAGUUUAAAUAAAAUAUUAAUUUGUGGGAUUAAAGAUAUGAUUUUAUUUAUUUUAGUU